GUGCUCACUUCAGCAGCACCUAUACUAAAACUGGAAUGAUAUGGAGAAGGUUAGCAAGGCCCUGUGCCAGGAU
rnacentral:snRNA from 1 species